rnacentral:rRNA from 1 species
UACGGAGGGAGCUAGCGUUGUUCGGAAUUACUGGGCGUAAAGCGCACGUAGGCGGCUUUGUAAGUCGGGGGUGAAAGCCUGUGGCUCAACCACAGAAUUGCCUUCGAUACUGCAUGGCUUGAGACCGGAAGAGGUAAGUGGAACUGCGAGUGUAGAGGUGAAAUUCGUAGAUAUUCGCAAGAACACCAGUGGCGAAGGCGGCUUACUGGUCCGGUUCUGACGCUGAGGCGCGAAAGCGUGGGGAGCAAACAGG